ensembl:ncRNA F49E10.21 ncRNA
AUCGUUUUUUGUUGAAAUCCAGCCGUUGCUUUAUCCACCCGGCUCACUUCUUGCGCUUCUCGCGAUCUUCUCUUUUCCUGUGUAACUCGAAAUUGGGUUUCAAGAGGCAGCACCGCUCAAUUCAAUAUAGAAUCUGGGGUCGGUGAAC